rnacentral:misc_RNA from 1 species
UCUCUUAAAAUAAGCAUUUUGUCUCAAAGGCGAUGCAUUUGUGUGUAAUUAUUUUAUGAACAAGAUUGUGUAUCAUGUACAUGAAGUACCAUUUUCAUUAAUGGGUGUUUGAUUGGAGUUGUUUGUCUGUAGCACUUAAUAUUCUGUAAGAGAUUGAGUUUCAUAAAUAACCGUGUAUAUGUAUGUUUCUCCUGUCUGUGUGUUGUAAUUUUUAUAGUUUUCUCGAUUCAAAAUACAAAAGAAAAUACUAAUAUACUGCUAGUGAUUUCUUAAACUGUUUACUUAUAAGACUAUGUAUGAUAAAAGCUACUCACUGAU